GGCAUGUCCACGUAAGAGCCGUUCCUAGGAGUCCAUCUGGGGGAAGGGGAGGGUAGCACCGUCUGUAUCUCUCUAUGAAUAUCUACGAGCUCCGAUCAGGGUGAACCGGGCCUUUCCCUUCCUCCCGUGAAUGAGUUUGGGUGGAAUAUCUCCGUAAGGUAACAGGAACAUGGCGGAACUCCAACCUCGCAGCUUCUGGUUUCCAGUGCACAGGCUGCGCCGUCUCUUCUGAAGAGCUUGUGCGGAUAGACGGCGUCCUGUCGGCCACCAGGGAGAGGGAGAAUGAUCCAUCCAUCAGCCGGGACCUCUCCUCCGGGGCCACUUCUGUGUUCCUGGCCAGGGGGGAGAGACGGGGGGUACGGCAGUGGAGGAGAUGACUGCCCGUAAAACACAUCGACAAUCAGAACAUGCCAAACAUCUCCUGCACAAGCAAAACACCUUCUUCAUCCUCGUUCCCAACCCCCAGACAAAGGCUUCUCCAUCUGCCGUGAAUAGGCAUCUUGAGAAAGCGAUACGGCGCGGAGACAAAGUGACGGUGUAGAUCACUCAUCGCCCCCGCUGCACCGCCAGCCCCCGCGUCCGCCGCGCUACUGAGAUGAUGCAACGCAAACACACGGGCAGACGGGACCUGACACCUGGGCCGGUGAGGUCACCUCCCGCCAGCGGCGCCAUUACGGACUGAGCGUUGGGGAGGAGAGCGGAGCCCCUACGCUGCUCUGUACGCCGUCAGCUGUUGUGGGUGAUGGAGAGCAACGAGUGAUAUGGAUCACCUCGCCUGGCGGUCUCGAGGGGACGAGGGGUUAGGGGUUUCACCUCACACCACUGAUCCAGUGUAAAAGGUGUUAACGAGCCUCAGACAGACAGACAGUCAGACAGACAGACAGACAGACAGACAGACAGACAAACAGACAGACAGACAGACAGAUGGACACACAGGCAGACAGACAGAUGGACACACAGGCAGUUCUAGGUGCAAUGUUAACCAGCCUCUGAGAGUCAGACAGACAGAUAUAAUGACAGGUCUAUCUGCAAUGUUAACCAACAGCUGAGAGACAGAAAGACAGACAGAAUGACAGGUCUAUCUGCAAUGUAAACCAGCCUCAGACAGACAGUCAGACAGACAGACACACAGGUCUAUCUGCAAUAAUAACCAACAUCGAGAGGCAGACAGACAGAAUGACGGGUCUCUCUGCAAUGUAAACCAGCCUCUGAGAGACAGAUAGACAGACAGAAUGACAGGUAUAUAUGCAAUGUUAACCAGCCUCAGACAGACAGUCAGACAGACGGACACACAGGUCUACCUGCAAUGUUAACCAACGUCGAGAGGCAGACCGACCGAAUGACGGGUCUCUCUGCAAUGUUAACCAGCCUCUUAGAGACAGAGGUACAGGCCUAUCUGAAUUACUUAUCGGCGUGUGUUUGUGCGUGGAAUGUAAGACAAUAUGCAGGCGUGCGUGUGUGUGUGUCGUGUGUCGUGUGUCGUGUGUGUGCGCGUGUGCGUGCACGGUUAAAUAUAAGUGGUGCAGGCGCUCAGCAGAACUAGUGUUU